GUUGGAUGGCCCUGUAAUUUACACAUCUUCCUGAAAUGAAUUUCAGGUCAUUUCUACCCAGCACUUUAAAAAAUACUUCAUAUGGGUACUGGAGGUUCUUGCAUCUCUUAUCCCACAAAGUUUUUGAAGCCAUAAGAAUAUCUUAUUAAGGAUUAUGCAAAAUAACCUCCUACAAAUCCUGAUAUUAUUACACUGCCCCCAAAACUUCAAAGCAUCAGGAAAUUUUUUUUUUUUUUAACUAAACCAGAUUCAGCUGGCUACCCCACUUGGCUACAGAGUACUAAAGAAGAGACUGAACUUGAUCCUGCUGCCCUUGCAGACACAACACUUCCAUUGACUCUAGAGAAGACUUAAGUGCAUGAAAGGAUUCCAGGAUCAAAAGGGACACACCAUGUUUAUAAGCCUCAGGCCCUGUAAAACCUGGAUUUGCUCUGCUCCAUACCUUCACUCUCAGCCUCUGACAGCCACUAUUCUACUUUCUGUCUUUAUGAAUUUGGCUACUCUAGGUGUGUCCUCUCUAUUUGAAGUGUGAUACCUUUUAUAGCUCUGUUGGCUGACACCAGUCCCUCAAACCAAUGCCUUCUAGCUGAGUUGCUCCACUCAUUCUUCAAACAAGAUCCUCAGAGUCUGAUUUCUAGCCAUGGAAACAGCUUAAGCUCAAAGUGUGAUCCCUUUCCCUUAUCAUAGUCUGCUCUUGCCAGAGGAGUAAGGGUUGAGCUAUUUAAAUUGGUGUUAGUGUUAUACUGUUGGUUCAUUAAUAGCAGUAUGUUUUCCCUUGUGUGAGCAUUAAAAUCCUAGCUAUGGGGGCACUGCACAAGUAUUGUAUGUGCUAGGGCUCAGUGGUAGAGAACCUGGUUGGAGAUAUUCUGAUUUUCUAGAAUGUUUGUUUCAAAAGAUGCCUUGUUAAUGACAGGGGUUUACACUCAAUACUGAGUUAUAUACCACAGCUAUAAAUACAGUUAUUUCCUGAAUUGUGUUUUCAAAGAAAAAUACUUGUUGACAUGAACAUUUUUUUUUUUUUUGCCUUGGAUGGCUGGUAAUAUAAUAAGAAAACAAUAUAAGAUCCAGAGAGGUCUAUGUGAAAAGUUAAGACUAUCCACUUUAAUACUUAUAGCCUGCAUAAAUCUUGGUCCUUUGUAUGACAUAACGUUACCAAAAAUAUAUCCAGGUGUGUUUCAUCUUCAUGUUUUCACAUGUACAUCAAGAACCUACUAUAUAGCUCAGGGAAAUCUAUUCAGUAUUCUGUGAUAGCCUAUAUGGGGAAAGAAUCUGAAAAAUAAUGGAUAUAUAUGUUUAUGUGUGGUCGAUUCACUUUGCUGUACACCUGAAACCAACACAUUAUGUAAGUCACUUACACUUCAAUAACAUUUAUUAAAAAAAAAAAAAAAAAAAAGACCGAAUGCUUCCAAGGUGUUAGUUUGUUUUACUGAAUUUCACAGCUUUGCAUCCAGAGUCAGGAAGCUGUAGUGGAGCUGCGCUGAUACACCAGUGCUGAAUGCCACAUAUGCAUAUGCUGACACAUAUGCAAGACUCUAGCACUCAAAUGCAUCCCAUCCCAGACCUAUCUCUUCUAAAUUCAGAGCCAGAGAGGCCCCUGCAGGCCUUCCCUAAACUUUCCUUCUGGCUAUGAUUCAAGACUGAUCAUUUUAUAAUCUCAGGUUAAUAGCACUGUCCAUGUAAUUGACACAUGGCACUUGGUACAUUUCCUAGGCCUAAGGCUGCAUCUUUAGUGCCAGAGUAGUAAACCAUGGAAUGUGGUCACUGUGGUUGGCAAGCUUUUUGUUUGCUUGACAUCUCUGUGGGUACCAUUCCUUCACAAUUCUCAGGCCUUGAGGUUCUGAUGGGGCUGACUCCAACCUCUGAACCCAGAGGUGGGCACCCAACCUGGGCCUAGGUCAUCAAGGAACUCCAUUCACCUGACUAUAGUGAUGGCUAAGGAGUAGCACUACUCAGCCCACCUGUCUGAAUCUGCCCUGGAGCUCUUGCUGCAGCUGUGUAGAAAGAGGUACAGUCUUUCUUUUUCUUUUUUUCUUUUUGUGGGCUCAUUAGCUGUAAGGACAGUAUAAAUCUAAAGCUAACCUUUGCUACUCUUCUCGGGUGAGACAGACUGAGAAAGGAGACAACACACAGGAAGCAGGGCUAAGGGAUGGAGGAAUAGAGGCAGAUUCCUAGUGAUAAUAUUUGUACCUCAGUAUUAUAACCCUGGACUUUCUAAUUAUUGGAUUCCAAUACACUCUCCAUUUAUUUUUUCAUUUUAGGUCUGCACCUGUGGUAUAUGGACGUUCUCAGGCUAGGGAUCAAAUUGGAUCCACAGCCACAGCAA